AUGCCCGUCAGCGGGAGCGGGGCUGACACCGCUAUUCCCGCCGAGUACCGGGGCCGGGGCGCCGUGCCAUGCCUCUCGCCCGGCAAACGCAGGGAUUGCAGAAGCCCCGUUAGCUCUGCCUCUCAUCUCCGCCUACAGCAUCCCUCCCGACAAAUUGGAUGCGGCGCCCACCCGAACCCGACACGCGGCCAAACCCCGGCCCGGCCUCUGCGCGGAGCGGGGCGGAGGCAGGUCCAGCUCCAGGUGCCGGCCACGCCGCCACACGCCCCGUCGCGUCGGGUCCCGUCCCGUCCCCUCCCGUCCCGUCCCUUCCCGUCCCGUCGGGUCCCGUUGGGUCCCGUCCCGUCGCUGCGGGCCGCCCGGGACAGGCGGCGGGCGCGGGGCCGAGCAGCGGUGCGCCGCGCAGCGCUGCGGCCCCGGCUGUGCGCCCGCUGGAGAACCCUCAGCUCCCCUAAGCCCGGCACGGCCCGGACCGGCCCGGCCCGGCCCAGUCUCCCACCUGACUUCUGCCGCCUCGACGGCUCCGCGUUCCUUCGGCCCUCGUCGCCUUCGCGGAGCUCGGGCAGGCUCGGGGGGCGUCGGUGCCCGCGGGGACCCGGGCAGAGCAGGGCCGAGCCGAAGCGAGCCGGCGGGGUUGUUGGUGGGGCACAAGCGCCCCUCGCGCCCCUCUGGGGCCGCCGCAUCGGCCCUGGCUGCUGGUGCCGGGGACAGGGUAACGGGAGAAGCUCGUCCCGUCCCGUCCCGUCCCGUCCCGUCCCGUCCCGUCCCAGCAGGCAGCGCCCUCGGAAGCGCUGGGCCCGGCCGCCCCGCAGCGGGCUGCGAGGGGACUUCGUGUCGGGGUGCAGCCAGCCCCGGGGGCCCCACUUCCUCCGAGCCACUGGGGUCGGCGAGCCCGAGAGCCGCUGCCGUCCCGGCCGCUCCUCCCCGCGCCGAGAACGCCCAGAAGCAGCCGGCUCCAGGCGGCGGGGGCUGCACGCAAGGCUUCGGGGGCGCCCACGCCCGUGUCUGUCCGUUCCUCUUUAG
rnacentral:lncRNA from 1 species